rnacentral:rRNA from 1 species
AGUGAACGCUGGCGGUAGGCCUAACACAUGCAAGUCGAACGGCAGCACAGUAAGAGCUUGCUCUUACGGGUGGCGAGUGGCGGACGGGUGAGGAAUACAUCGGAAUCUACUUUUUCGUGGGGGAUAACGUAGGGAAACUUACGCUAAUACCGCAUACGACCUACGGGUGAAAGCAGGGGAUCUUCGGACCUUGCGCGAUUGGAUGAGCCGAUGUCGGGUUAGCUAGUUGGCGGGGUAAAGGCCAACCAAGGCGACGAUCCGUAGCUGGUCUGAGAGGAUGAUCAGCCACACUGGAGCUGAGACACGGCCCAGACUCUUACGGGAGGCAGCAGUGGGGAAUAUUGGACGCUGGGCGGAAGCCUGCUCCAGCCAUACCGCGUGGGUGAAGCAGGCCUUCGGGUUGUAAAGCCCUUUUGUUGGGAAAGAACAGCAGCAGGUUAAGACCCCGCUGUUCUGACGGUACCCAAAGAAUAAGCACCGGCUACCUUCGU